rnacentral:rRNA from 1 species
UAGGGAAUCUUCCGCAAUGGGCGAAAGCCUUACGGAGCAACGCCGCGUGAGUGAUGAAGGUCUUCGGAUCGUAAAACUCUGUUAUUAGGGAAGAACAAAUGUGUAAGUAACUAUGCACGUCUUGACGGUACCUAAUCAGAAAGCCACGGCUAACUACGUUCCAGCAGCCGCGGUAAUACGUAGGUGGCAAGCGUUAUCCGGAAUUAUUGGGCGUAAAGCGCGCGUAGGCGGUUUUUUAAGUCUGAUGUGAAAGCCCACGGCUCAACCGUGGAGGGUCAUUGGAAACUGGAAAACUUGAGUGCAGAAGAGGAAAGUGGAAUUCCAUGUGUAGCGGUGAAAUGCGCAGAGAUAUGGAGGAACACCAGUGGCGAAGGCGACUUUCUGGUCUGUAACUGACGCUGAUGUGCGAAAGCAUGGGGAUCAAACAGG